rnacentral:rRNA from 1 species
CCAAACCGACACAGGUGGGUGGGUGUAAGUGCACCAAGGCGCGCGAGAGAGACCUCUCUAAGGAACUCGGCACAUUAGCCCCGUAACUUCGGGAAAAGGGGUGCUCGCUUCGGCGAGCCACAGUAAAUUGCGUUUAGCGACUGUUUAACAAAAACACAGCACUCUGCCACGUCGUUAAGACAACGUAUAGGGUGUGACAAGUGACCAAUGCGGAAAGAUCAAGGCAAGGGGUUAGCCGCAAGGCGAAGCUCUGAACCUAAGUCCCCGUGAAUGUCGGCCGUAACUAUAACGGUCCUAAGGUAGCGAAAUUCCUUGUCGGGUAAGUUCCGACCUGCACGAAUCUUGUAACGACUGAACGACUGUCUCGGAGAGGUUCUCGGCGAAACUGUAACGGCGGUGAAGAUGCCGCCUGCCCGCAGUAGGACGGAAAGACCCUAUGCACCUUUACUGUAAGCUCGUAUUGGCUUCUGGUUGAUGAUGCUUAGCGUAGGUGGGAGACUUUGAAGGCAUGGCUUCGGUUGUGCUGGAGUCGAAAUGUGAAACACCACUCUUUGUCAACUAGGAGUCUAACCUCGAUCCCGUUAGCCGGGCGAGGGACAGUGCGUGCGGGUCAGUUUGGCUGGGGCGGCUUCCUCCCAAAUGGUAACGGAGGAGCGCGAAGCUGGGCUCAGCAUGGUUGGCAACCAUGCGUCGAGCGUAUGGGUAGAAGCCCGGUUAACUGCGAGACCAACAAGUCAAGCAGAUGCGAAAGCAGGCCCAAAUGAUCCGAUGGUUGAAUGUGGAAUUGCCAUCGCUCAACGGACAAAAGGUACGCUAGGGAUAACAGGCUGAUCGGGACCAAGAGUUCACAUCGACGUCCCGGUUUGGCACCUCGAUGUCGGCUCAUCGCAUCCUGGGGCUGGAGAAGGUCCCAAGGGUCCGGCUGUUCGCCGGUUAAAGCGGUACGCGAGCUGGGUUCAGAACGUCGUGAGACAGUUCGGUCCUUAUCCACUGUGGGCGGAGGAAACUUGAGGGGUUCAUUCCUUAGUACGAGAGGACCGGGAAUGACGCGCUUCUGGCUUGGCAGUUGUCGUGUCAACGGCAGCGCUGCGUAGCCACGUGCGGAAGGGAUAAGCGCUGAAAGCAUCUAAGUGCCAAGCCCAUCCCAAGAUAUGGUUUCCCGGACGCAAGUCCCUGAAGACACCAAGCAGACUACUUGGUUGAUAGGCUGGGCGUGCAAGCUCCGUGAGGAGUUUAACGGACCAGUACUAAUCAGUCGUGAGGCUUGAUUGC